UUCACCUCACCCUGCCUUCUGAAACAGACUGGGUCUUCUCAGUGUUUGCACUGCAUCACAUUUACAUACAUGAUGUCAUCAAGUUUUGUGCGAGUAUAUCCAAUGAAUCUAUUUUUAGCCACAACACAUGGGGGUUUCCUUUAUGGUAAACGACUCUAUUUAUAGCAAGGUAACAAUGCCAUAUUUGGAUUAAGUUUCCGUAACAGCUAAGCAACAACAAAAGCUAGGUAAGGAAUAAUUGUGCCAGAGUGUAUUUAUAAACAAUAAUAACUAACAUGGUA